GUUUAUUUCAGCCUGGAAUUUUUUUCCACAAAUGGAUUUUCACUUCUGUUCUGGUUGAAUGAGAAAGGGGCAUAGUGAGGGGAUACACUUAGUCCUCCACUUAUUCCAUCCUGGAAGCCUGGGUUCGAUCGCCAGACUAUAGGAUGUUCCUUCUCAAUUGUAGCUUCCAGAGAGGUAGGAUAAUGAAGUGGAAAGAAAUAUGGCUUGUAAUCAAGGGAGCUGAGUCAAUACCAGCCCUGAUGCUGUAUGAUCCUGGCUUGGACCUUUGGCUUGGAUCUUCUCCUUGGGACUGUUCCUGGGACUUCACUUUUUGGACUUCUUCUUGGAUCCUGCAUCAGUGAACUGGGGGAGUAGCUGGCCUUCCUUUCCUGGAGAAGGGUGAGAACAUUGGAGCUUGGAGAGAUUAAACAACUAGACUGAGACCUGACAGCUACCACAAUAUCAGAGCUGGGAUUAGACUCUAGGUCCAGUGUAACAAAAUCAGCCAAACAAGCAAGCAUUGGUGAAGCAUCCACAAUUUGCCAGCCACUUUCCCCUAUUAUACCUUGUCUCUAGUUCCAUGAUGGGCCCAUUGAAACUCUUAGUCGGAUCUCAUGCAGGAAUCUGAAGUGUUGAAAGCUCUUUCAACUUAAAACUUCUUUUAUCUUGUCUUCUAAUUCAUUUCUCCAUUAGCAAAACUAAAAUAUUCAUUAA
rnacentral:lncRNA from 1 species